rnacentral:tRNA from 1 species
GGGCUUGUAGCUCAGUGGCAGAGCACCCGCCUUUUAAGCGGAGUGUCGAAGGUUCGAAUCCUUCCAAGCCCA